rnacentral:rRNA from 1 species
UACGUAGGGGGCUAGCGUUGUCCGGAAUCAUUGGGCGUAAAGAGCGUGUAGGCGGCCCGGUAAGUCCGCUGUGAAAGUCGGGGGCUCAACCCUCGAAUGCCGGUGGAUACUGUCGGGCUAGAGUGCGGAAGAGGCGAGUGGAAUUCCUGGUGUAGCGGUGAAAUGCGCAGAUAUCAGGAGGAACACCGAUUGCGAAGGCAGCUCGCUGGGACGGUACUGACGCUGAGGCGCGAAAGCGUGGGGAGCGAACAGG